rnacentral:rRNA from 1 species
AGCGAACGCUGGCGGCAGGCCUAACACAUGCAAGUCGAACGAACUCUUCGGAGUUAGUGGCGGAAGGGUGAGUAACCCGUAGGAACGUGCCUUUUGGUUCGGAAUAACUCAGGGAAACUUGUUCUAAUACCGAAUGUGCCCUUCGGGGGAAAGCUUUAUCGCCAUUAGAGCGGCCCGCGUCUGAUUAGCUAGUUGGUGAGGUAACGGCUCACCAAGGCGACGAUCAGUAGCUGGUCUGAGAGGAUGACCAGCCACACUGGGACUGAGACACGGCCCAGACUCCGGCGGGAGGCAGCAGUGGGGAAUCUUGCGCAAUGGGAGAAAGCCUGACGCAGCCAUGCCGCGUGAAUGAUGAAGGUCUUAGGAGUGUAAUAUUCUUUCACCUGGGACGAUAACGACGGUACCCUGAGAAGAAGCCCCGGCUAACUGCGUG